rnacentral:rRNA from 1 species
GUAGGGACCAAGCGUUGUUCGGAUUUACUGGGCGUAAAGGGCGCGUAGGCGGCGUGUUAAGUCAGCUGUGAAAUCUCUGAGCUCAACUCAGAACGGCCAGCUGAUACUGAUGUGCUAGAGUGCAGAAAGGGCAAUCGGAAUUCUUGGUGUAGCGGUGAAAUGCGUAGAUAUCAAGAGGAACACCUGAGGCGAAGGCGGGUUGCUAGGCUGACACUGACGCUGAGGCGCGAAAGCCAGGGGAGCAAACGGGAUUAGAUACCCCGGUAGUCCUGGCCCUAAACGAUGAAUACUUGGUGUCUGGAGUUUUUAGUGCUCCGGGUGCCGUCGCUAACGUUUUAAGUAUUCCGCCUGGGGAGUACGCACGCAAGUGUGAA